rnacentral:rRNA from 1 species
CCUACGGGUGGCUGCAGUAGGGAAUAUUGGGCAAUGGGUGCAAGCCUGACCCAGCCAUCCCGCGUGCCGGAUGAAGGCCCUCUGGGUCGUAAACGGCUUUUGACGGUGAAGAACCGAAAGGGUGCGCCCUUUUUUGACGGUAGCCGUUGAAUAAGCACCGGCUAACUCCGUGCCAGCAGCCGCGGUAAUACGGAGGGUGCGAGCGUUGUCCGGAUUUAUUGGGUUUAAAGGGUGCGUAGGCUGGAGGGACAGUCAGCGGUGAAAAGCAGUUGCUC